GGGACUGCUUCCUUCGGAGCAUUGGGAGUAAGUUCUGCUCUUUGGAAUGGGGUCUGUCAGCAGAAAGAGCAGCAACUGCACCUGGAGACUGCUUCCUUUAGAGCGUGGGGUGAACCCUUGAAACAGGCUCUGCAGCUCUGGUUCCCAGCAGCGUGAUGAACUGAAGCCCCUGGUCUGCUGAAUACUGGGACUGGCCCAGAGAGGCUCUGUGACGGGUGUGGAUUAUCCCAGCUGGAGUACCUGGUACCAUUGGUGGUGAUCUCGUCCAACUGCCACACAACGGACAGGAACAUCCACAGCCAGAUCAGGUUGCCCAGAGGCUGACCCAGCCUCACCUUGGAAGGGACAGAGCAUCUAUCACAUGUCUGGGGACUUCACCUGACUGCCUCAACUUCCUCUUCCUCAAUCCCCACCUACCAAACCAAAGGUGAGGGCAGUGUAUAGUGAGCAGUUAUCAGAGAAGAUGGAAGCAAAAAUAUUGUUGGGUACCUGAGCCUUCUCCUUGUCUGUUGUUCCCAGCUCAGUGCUGCUGGUGGCCGCAGAGCUGCAGUGCUCCUGAGAGCUUUAAGGACAGCAUGGAGAUGCGUGGGUCUUCACGGCAGCAGCAAGGAACCAGAAUCUGCAUUUCCUGGAAUGCCACGGAACCCCACUUUGCUGGCUGGUAAUUGUCUGCCCAGCAGGUGAAGAUGUCUUUGACACUUCCAGCUGAUGACUUCCCCCCUGGGACACCAUCGUCUUUCCAGACCUCCCAUACUCACCGCCAGCUCAGUUCGGUCGAGUUGUUACCCGAAUCGCCAUUUCAUUCCCUUUCCAUGAUCCUCCUGUCACUCUGCCACAAGCCCCUACCACCUCCCAAGGUCGUCGCAGGCAACAUGUGUGAUGCGGCACUCAGUCUCAUUAUAGUUCAUCCCAUCAGCCUCAGCCCAGCGAUCCAAACCUAACCCACAUCCUUCCUUAGGGCCCUUCUACUCCCAGGCCAAUCAACGCUUCCUUCUGAUGCCAUCUGCGUUCCUUCUUGGCUGCUUUAAGACUCGUGCCCCUUUGUGGCCAUUUUGAGAGUUGCGAUGACUUCAGCCUGUGCAUUCAAUUUAGUUCAACCAAAUUGGCUUCAAUUUUACAUUCAAUUAAUGUAAACCAAAUUGGCUUUAAGUUUGCAUUGCUUACGGGG